AGUGGAAGUUGAAUCAAUUGCAGGCAAAUGAAAUAUCUUUUGUCUGUGCUUUUCAGACUUCCUAGAAUAAAGUGAAGGUCUCUGUCUGGUUUAGAACAGCCAACUAAGCCAGAUCGUUCCCCUUUGCACAUU
rnacentral:snoRNA from 11 species